rnacentral:rRNA from 1 species
UACGUAGGUGGCGAGCGUUGUCCGGAUUUAUUGGGUUUAAAGGGUGCGUAGGCGGCCCUAUAAGUCAGUGGUGAAAUAUCGCAGCUUAACUGUGAGGGUGCCAUUGAUACUGUAGGGCUUGAGUGAAUUUGAAGUAGGCGGAAUUGACGGUGUAGCGGUGAAAUGCUUAGAUAUCGUCAAGAACACCGAUAGUGAAGACAGCUUACUAAGCUUCAACUGACGCUGAGGCACGAAAGUGUGGGGAUCAAACAGGAUUAGAAACCCCCGUAGUCC